rnacentral:rRNA from 1 species
AACGAACGCUGGCGGCAUGCCUAACACAUGCAAGUCGAACGAGACCUUCGGGGCUAGCUGCGCACGAGUGCUUACCGCGUGGGAACCUGCCCUUAGGUUCGGUAUCUCUCCCCGAAAGGGAUCCUAAUACCGGAUUAUGUCUUCCGGCCUAAGAUUUAUCGCCUUGUGAUGGGCCCGCGUGGGGUUCGCUAGUUUGUCUAGUAAAUGCCUAUCCAGGCGACGAUCCAUAGCUGGUCUUAGCGGAUGAUCAAGAACACUGGGACUGAGACACGGACGAGACUCCUACGGGAGGAAGGAGGGGGGAAUAAGGAACGAUGCGCGAAUGACUGAGCUAUCAAGGCCGUGAGAGUGAGGAAGAACAGAGGGUUGUAAAGCACUGUUACAAGGGAUGAUAAUGACAGUACCGGGCGAAUAAGCGCCGGCUAACUCCGUG